UGGGGAAUAUUGCACAAUGGGCGAAAGCCUGAUGCAGCAACGCCGCGUGAGGGACGACGGCCUUCGGGUUGUAAACCUCUUUUAGCAAGGAAGAAGCGAAAGUGACGGUACUUGCAGAAAAAGCGCCGGCUAACUACGUGCCAGCAGCCGCGGUAAUACGUAGGGCGCAAGCGUUAUCCGGAAUUAUUGGGCGUAAAGAGCUCGUAGGCGGUUUGUCGCGUCUGCUGUGAAAAACCCGAGGCUCAACCUCGGGCCUGCAGUGGGUACGGGCAGACUAGAGUGCGGUAGGGGAGAUUGGAACUCCUGGUGUAGCGGUGGAAUGCGCAGAUAUCAGGAAGAACACCGAUGGCGAAGGCAGAUCUCUGGGCCGUAACUGACGCUGAGGAGCGAAAAGGGUGGGGAGCAAAACAGGCUUAGAUACCCUGGUAGUCCACCCCGUAAACGUUGGGAACUAGUUGUGGGUCCAUUCCACGGAUUCCGUGACGCAGCUAACGCAUUAAGUUCCCCGCCUGGGGAGUAC
rnacentral:rRNA from 1 species